UAUGUAGCUAUUCCAUUUGAGUUAAAGUCAAAAUUGUUGAUUCAGAAAUGAAAUAUUUUACUGUUUUCACUGUGAUACUUCUAAUCGGUUGCUGUUUGGCAGAUUUGUACGAAAAUAACAACAAUGACAUUUCUUUGAGAGGAAACCAAGUGGUUAAGUCUCGCAGUCGCCGUGCAGCAUGCGAUAUCUUUAGCACACUAUUUUACGGAAGACAAUUCAAUCAUGACGCAUGCGCAAUUAGUUGUAGGGCUGCGAAUAAGUUGAGUAAAGGUGGACUGUGUAUUUUUACUUUCUGUUAUUGUAGUUGAUUCUACUUACAUCUCAGACAUAAAUAAUGCGGAAUUUUGCAUCAUAUUAGAUAAAGUUUCGGAAUUUAUCUCAAUUUAAUGCAUAUUAAUAAAUAGCUGGCAUAAUCAA